AGCGGUAUGCUCAGUGGUAGAGCACAUGCUUAGCAUGCAUGAGGUCCUGGUUCAAUCCUCAGUACCUCCA
rnacentral:tRNA from 1 species